rnacentral:rRNA from 1 species
UACAGAGGGUGCGAGCGUUGUUCGGAAUUACUGGGCGUAAAGCGUACGUAGGCGGCUUUGUAAGUUAGAGGUGAAAGCCCGGGGCUCAACCCCGGAAUUGCCUUUAAGACUGCAUCGCUAGAAUCCAGGAGAGGUGAGUGGAAUUCCGAGUGUAGAGGUGAAAUUCGUAGAUAUUCGGAAGAACACCAGUGGCGAAGGCGGCUCACUGGACUGGUAUUGACGCUGAGGUGCGAAAGCCAGGGGAGCAAACGGG